UACGGAAGGCAGCAGUGGGGAAUAUUGCACAAUGGGCGCAAGCCUGAUGCAGCCAUGCCGCGUGUAUGAAGAAGGCCUUCGGGUUCGUAAAGUACUUUCAGUCGUGAGGAAGGUGUUAAGGUUAAUAACCUUAGCAAUUGACGUUAGCGACAGAAGAAGCACCGGCUAACUCCGUGCCAGCAGCCGCGGUAAUACGGAGGGUGCGAGCGUUAAUCGGAAUUACUGGGCGUAAAGGGCACGCAGGCGGUUAAUUAAGUUGGAUGUGAAAUCCCCGGGCUUAACCUGGGAAUGGCAUUCAAGACUGGUUAGCUAGAGUCUUGUAGAGGGGGUAGAAUUCCAUGUGUAGCGGUGAAAUGCGUAGAGAUGUGGAGGAAUACCGGUGGCGAAGGCGGCCCCUGGACAAAGACUGACGCUCAUGUGCGAAAGCGUGGGGAGCAAAC
rnacentral:rRNA from 1 species